AGAUGCGAUCAUACCAGCACUAACGCACCGGAUCCCAUCAGAACUCCGAAGCUAAGCGUGCUUGGGCGAGAGUAGUAAUAGGAUGGGUGACCUCCUGGGAAGUCCUCGUGUUACAUCCC
rnacentral:rRNA from 1 species